rnacentral:lncRNA from 1 species
CUUGGAUUUUUCUCAUUGAAGGAGUGCAUAUGGCCUAAGAAUACAGGCCUUGGCUCUUUAAGGUAUUACUCACUGUUCUUUCAUUUUAGAUGAAGCAGAGUGGAGGUGCCCAUGCCAACAUGCUCCCAGAGAGAUGCUCUCUACAAUAGCAGACAUCUGUUGGCUGCACUCCUUUGGGACUUCUCUCUAACUGCUAGCUCCACCAUGCCCCAGGAAGCUCGUUAUUGGGAUAAAGAUGUCAUUCGGUAUCUCAUCAGCACUGGGACUCCACCUCAUUUUCUCUAACUGGAAGGUGGGAACAUAAAUACCAAAUCUCCAUCUAAGGACUGAGCUAAGCUCAGUUAUAACCUUAUUUCUCACCUGAAUAUUCUACUUUGGGACUUCUGUCUUCUCUACCAUGGGUAGAGAAUUUGUAACUUCUGGAAUUUGUAACUUCUCUUCACCUUCUUUAUCAGUUUCCUUUAGUGUGUUCCUCCAUUAGGUUGUAACUUUUUAAGGGUAGAGACUGUCAUUCUUUUACUUCUUGGCACACAGUACGUGCAUAAUAAAUAUUUAUUGACUAUUAUUGUGUAUGUCAUUUUCUUGAUUCCGCUGACUUUACUUUGUAAAUCAUACAGAUUUUCCCAUGCUUCUUUGUGUUCAUCACAUAUAUCAUUUCUUACAGCACAGUAAUUUUUUCACAUUUAAAAAUAAUUUUUUGUUGUAUAAAUAUUAUUAAAGUUUUUUUUAAUUUUCAAGACAUAUACAUGGGUAAUUUUUCAACAGUGACCCUUGCGUUCCAAGGGUCCAAAUUUCCCCCCUCCUUUCUGCCAUCCCUUCCCCUAGAUGGCAAGUAAUCCAAUAUAUAUUAAACAUGUUAAAAUAUAUGUUAAAUACAAUAUAUAUAUAUAUAUGUAUACAUAUUUAUACAAUUAUCGUAACAUAGUAAUUUUCCAUUACAUUCAAGUACCACAAUUUAUUUAGCCAUUCCCCAAUCAAUGGACUUCUAGUUUGUUUCCUGUUCUUUGUGGUAAAAAAAAAAGUGCUGCUAUAAAUAUUUUGACAUAUGUGAGGCUGUUCUCUUUUUUAAAUUUUUUUUUAUUAUAACUUUUUAUUGACAGUACAUACGCAUGGGUAAUUUUUUACAACAUUGUCCCUUGCACUCACUUCUGUCCCGACUUUUCCCUUUCCU